AAAACACAAAUUUAGAGAAGGUAUUAUCAUAUCAAUGUAGAGGCUUGAUGAAGCAGCAAAUGAAAAAAGAAACAUAAAAUCUGUUUUAAUCGAAAUUUUAAUUUGCCAAUUAAGCAGCAUUCUCUAUUGUUUUGAUUUCCAUUUUAAAGUUAUUUACUUAAAAUAAAAAGGGAAAAUAUUCACCAAAACAUGUCUAAAAAAAGGGAAAACGUUCACAAAAACAUUGUCGUCUCCUUUUUCUUCUGAAGCUUCUCACAAAUACUAGAUGCUCUCAACAUUAACCAUUUGGUGUUGGUACCAUGCUCACCGUUCUUCCCACCACAGCCAGACCCCAGAGUUGUAUCUCUUGCAUGUGCAUGUUUCAAUUUAUAUAGUUUUUACAUUUCAAAUUGAAUUCUCCAUGAAAAUCAAAUGGUUAUGCAAGAUUGGUUUGUGGGUUUGUCCAAAAAGGUUAAAAAGGAAACCCUGUGAGAUAUAAAGUGAAGCAGUAAGGGUGUGACCAAUGAAAGCAAUCCCUAAAUCAUAUGCAAGCCAUAUAAUAGCACCAUUUAAGCAGCCACUGCUUCUUACAGAAAUUUAACCAUUCAUAUCUUAUUUCUCUCAUCUCCUUGUUCCAAAUUCUUAUUUCCACAACUCCAAACCUUUAUCCCAUAUAGCCCUAGGCAACAGUAUCCAAAAAUCUCAGAAACCUAUAAUUUUAACUUGGCUUUCACUGUUCCAUAAUUUCCAGCCACCUGAUUCUACAAUCAAGCUAACAAAACAGCCGCUCAAAUUUCCUGCAACCUGAUUUUGCCAUCCAGUCAACAACUGCCACCUGGUCCCUUCAUACAAUGUCAAUUCAGUCACUAUUCAAUCUACAGAGUCCAAACCUUUUGUUCACUUACUACAGAGCUUAAUCCCAAAUCUUAUCUUAUUCUAAUCCAUUAGAAAUCACUCAAGGGAAGAAAAUCCAAAUUUGUCCAACAUCCCUUGUUUCAUAGAUCACUAAAUAAAAAUGAAAUUCCAAAUAUUUGGUAUGGACAUAAAGAAUUUAAUGAAUACAAGCCCAAUAGAAAAUUGCAGCAAAGUCAUGUCACUCGCGUCAUCAAUACCAUCACCAGGACUCACUAAAAUUUAAAAUGAGUACACAGAACAGUACACCUAAACAAUCCUAAAAAAUCAGUAAAUCUCAAUAGUGUUCCAAACUUGUAAAAUUUAUAGCCCUCAUCUCCAAACUGAAAUUAAAAGGAAAUAAAAACAUGUAAUCUUGCAAGCAAAAAGCAUUCAAGAGUAUCACCAAAAUAGAUAGAAAAAAACAGUGUGUUCUGAAGUCUAAUAUAGCCUUAACAUAUGCAGAGAACCAAGAGUCUACAAACCCUGGAUUUUGUUACUUAAAAGCACUAAAAUGGUCUCACCUCAAACUCUGAAAAGCAAGGCAUGCUGUUCUCUAACGAUAGAGUUCCAAUUAGUCAAACACAUAAACCACUUUCAUUGGCCAUAGUUCCUUGCAUAUUACAUUAUUAAAUUUCUGUAUGAUGAGUACUGCAAAGGAUAAGAUAGU
rnacentral:misc_RNA from 1 species